rnacentral:rRNA from 1 species
AUGGCGGCCAUGGGCGACGACCUCCGGCUGGACCUGGACAAGCUCCCCAUCAAGCGCCUCGAGGCCAUCGACGAGGCCGGCAACGAGCACUACCCGCCGGACACCAGCAGCGAGGAGCAGCGGCUGGCGGCCAUCCGCCGGGUCGACUUCUCCUGGGUCGUCGAGCGGGACGCCAAGAAGGCCAAGAAGGCGGCGGCCGAGGACGCCGCCCAGAAGGCCUGGCCCUGGCAGGGCCUCCACGAGAGCCUGCAGCUCGCGCAGCAGGAGCUCACCGUCGUCCUCGACCUCAUCUCCACGGUCGAGGCGAAUGACACCGUGGCCGUCGCCACCAUUUCCAAGCCCAGGCCGCUGCCGGACGAAGUCCUCGUCGACAUGGCCGUCUCCGCCGCCACCAAGCUCCAGCGGCUUCGGCAUCUGGGACGGUACUUCAAACAAUCGGCAAAGACGAUGCAGCAGCAGUUCCAGAAGGAGGCUAGGUUCUACGGCUCGUUGAUCAGGUUGCAGCAGAACUGGAAAGUCAAGAGGCAGCGUGGGAAUGCUCCAGGAAUCAACAGCUUCAUGUUUGAUGUGGUUGACACUUCUCAGUUGGACACGGCAGCGAUGCCACGGAUGUCGUCGUUGUCACUGGUUCAGAUUGACCAGGACUCGUCGGGCACUUUGUCUGUGCAAGUCCCCCAAAAGGCGUGCCGUUUCUUGAGCCUUCAGUUCCGCCGGGACAGUGCCAACGGCCCGGAAAGCUAUGCUUGCAGAACAAAAGGUGUCUCAAGCACCACUUCUUCUGCAGCGGAAGAUGAUGCGUUGGAGGAGGAUGAUGUCAAUAAGUCUGUCAAACAGGCACAUUCCAUUCUUCGCAAUAUCCACAAGUCAAUAUUUGAGGAGCAGGUAUUGGAUAUGGUGAUCCGUGAGACGUUUGUCCAAACUCAAGGUGUCAACGUAACUGGAAUGCGUGAGGAUUUUCUCCAACUAGCAAUUGGCGAGGAGAGUUUGUUGUGCCUUUCGCUUGUGGAUUCUGGACAGGAUAGUGACUCAGAAAUGGCAGGCCAUGAGCAUAAUAAUUCAGAGGCGAAUCUUGUGCUAGCCACCACCAAUGGGAAGCAGGAGCCUUUAAAAAGGGAUACCUCAGGGUUUCUUAACCCGAAAAGUCUGGAGAUUUACUUGCUACACCUGUUCCACGAGAACAUUCUCAGAAAAGUCAGGGAGAAAUAUCGUAAUAUUGUUCGCUACCAGAGUCCUGCUCAGACCGCAGAGUCUGCAGGUGAAGAUUCUGGCUUGCUAAGUCAUUUCUGCAUGACAGUGGCCCAUAAAACAUAUUCAAAAAAAGUGCAGCUGGAGCUAGAGAGUGUGGUUAGCAGGGUUCCGUAUCUCCAGCUGCGGUCCCUUCCUACGUGGCACUCUCGAACUUCUUCCUGGUCUCUCUGCUUAAGAGUCCCGCAACCCAUUUUGGCUGCUGAUCGGCCCACGAAGCCUUCAGACAAUGGCGAGCCCAAGUACAAAUCUUCCAGGACACGGUUCAACACGAAGAUUGUCUUGAAGGACGGCCAGAUAAGUUUAUUGGGUGAGGGUUCCCCGAGCAUCGCUGGGUCGUUGACUAGGAAGCCCUCUGACGGUUAUCUAAUAAACAGUUACAAUUGUGACUUGGAGGACCUCCCAACGAUGGUUCUGCAGCAGGUUGCGAGCCAGAUAAUAAACUGGCUCCACGAGGAGGCUUUGGUCCUGGGGAUGAGCGUGACUCGGGAUUUCCUGUGCCUCUACUUCGACCUGGAGCACGGUGAUACGCUGGGCCUGGUGGCGCACGUGGACCCGGACGAUGAAUACGGGUGCAUCUCAUGGUACCUGACUGUCGACCACCCGGCGGAGGAUGACGGGAAGGCACCAGCGGCGGACGACCCCUGGGCUGAGAAGCGCAGGUUCCUGGGGUACCUGUCCCUGGAGGUGCUCUACUCCACCCUCCUGGACCUCAUCAACCUCUGCGGCACCGGCGCCCGCCCGCUGAGAUGA